AGUGAACGCUGGCGGUAGGCCUAACACAUGCAAGUCGAACGGCAGCACAGUAAGAGCUUGCUCUUACGGGUGGCGAGUGGCGGACGGGUGAGGAAUACAUCGGAAUCUACUUUUUCGUGGGGGAUAACGUAGGGAAACUUACGCUAAUACCGCAUACGACCUACGGGUGAAAGCAGGGGAUCUUCGGACCUUGCGCGAUUGAAUGAGCCGAUGUCGGAUUAGCUAGUUGGCGGGGUAAAGGCCCACCAAGGCGACGAUCCGUAGCUGGUCUGAGAGGAUGAUCGCCCACCCUGGAACUGAGACACGUCCCAGACUCCUACGGGGGGCAGCGGGGGGGAUUUUUGGACAAGGGCCGCAGGCUUGACCCAGCCUUCCCGCGGGGUUAAAGAGGGCUUUCGGUUUUUAAACCCCUUUUGUUGGGAAAAAAAAGCAGCGGUUUAAUCCCCCGCUGUUCGGACGGUACCAAAAAAAUAAGCCCCGGCUAACUUCGUG
rnacentral:rRNA from 1 species